rnacentral:rRNA from 1 species
CCAGACUCCUACGGGAGGCAGCAGUGGGGAAUAUUGGGCAAUGGGCGCAAGCCUGACCCAGCAACGCCGCGUGAAGGAAGAAGGCUUUCGGGUUGUAAACUUCUUUUGUCAGGGACGAAGCAAGUGACGGUACCUGACGAAUAAGCCACGGCUAACUACGUGCCAGCAGCCGCGGUAAUACGUAGGUGGCAAGCGUUAUCCGGAUUUACUGGGUGUAAAGGGCGUGUAGGCGGGACUGCAAGUCAGAUGUGAAAACCACGGGCUCAACCUGUGGCCUGCAUUUGAAACUGUAGUUCUUGAGUACUGGAGAGGCAGACGGAAUUCCUAGUGUAGCGGUGAAAUGCGUAGAUAUUAGGAGGAACACCAGUGGCGAAGGCGGUCUGCUGGACAGCAACUGACGCUGAGGCACGAAAGUGUGGGGAGCAAACAGGAUUAGAUACCCUUGUA